rnacentral:tRNA from 2 species
GGCAAGGUAGCUCAGCUGGUUAGAGCACGGCACUCAUAAUGCCGGGGUCGGCGGUUCGAUUCCGCCCCUUGCUACCA